rnacentral:lncRNA from 1 species
AGAUACAAGGAAAGCAUCUGUGGGUUGUGGUGAGAACAGUUUCACUUUGUGAAGUAAAAGAUUUUCACUUUGGCAGAUAUUUGAGAAAAUGGGAAUAGGAGACAUGUGCACUCAUGGAUUUUCAUCAUGUAUAUGAUAAAUGAUCUGGGCCAAAUGUGUAUGUCUUGCCAGUAGACUGCAUCUGGUGGUGUAGAUGAAUCCUCAGUUUUGAGUGCCUGCGUCUCUGCCAUACAGGUGUUAACACAGCGCUCCUACCCUUGCGCUUCCCUGUCCUGGGAUCCUCAAAGAAAGUCUCCUGUUCCUGGUCUCUUCUCUUCAGGCUUUGACUACCAGGCUUCUAUGAGCACUGGCUUUGGGUUUUUUUUCCAGAUAUCUGGAAUUUCUUCAGUCCUGGAACAGCUUACUUGCUACUAAAUAGUUCAUGAUGAAUGAACAAAGAGCAUUCUGGACUUUUGGAUGGCAUCCUCCGAGUUGAAGCUUGUAUGUUCCUGGCCUUCUCUUUACCUAUUUCUUUCCUUUAGUUGACAGAAAAAUGGAAAUUACUUGGGAUUUUCGAAGAGAUUGACAAAAGGUAUAUUUUUUGAGAAAGUGCAGGAAGAAUGAAAGGGUUCAAGAUAUGUGGU